CCUACGGGGGGCAGCAGUGGGGAAUAUUGGACAAUGGGGGCAACCCUGAUCCAGCCAUGCCGCGUGUGUGAAGAAGGCCCUCGGGUUGUAAAGCACUUUCAGUGAGGAAGAACGCCUGGUGGUUAAUACCCAUCAGGAAAGACAUCACUCACAGAAGAAGCACCGGCUAACUCCGUGCCAGCAGCCGCGGUAAUACGGAGGGUGCGAGCGUUAAUCGGAAUUACUGGGCGUAAAGCGCGCGUAGGUGGCUUGAUAAGCCGGUUGUGAAAGCCCCGGGCUCAACCUGGGAACGGCAUCCGGAACUGUCAAGCUAGAGUGCAGGAGAGGAAGGUAGAAGUCCCGGUGUAGCGGUGAAAUGCGUAGAGAUCGGGAGGAAUACCAGUGGCGAAGGCGGCCUUCUGGACUGACACUGACACUGAGGUGCGAAAGCGUGGGUAGCAAACAGGAUUAGAUACCCUAGUAGUC
rnacentral:rRNA from 1 species